rnacentral:misc_RNA from 1 species
UCCGGUUUGACACCGGCAGUCUCGCUAGAGUACUGGCUUUCGCCGAGCAACUAACGAUAGGGGUUGCGCUCGUUAGAGGACUUAACCCGACACUUCACAGCACGAGCUGACGACAGCCAUGCAGCACCUGUGAUCGUUCCACCCUUGCGGGUGUGGCUCCUGUUUCCAGGAGUUAAUCCGACCAUGUCAAACCCAGGUAAGGUUCUUCGCGUUGCCUCGAAUUAAGCAACAUGCUCCACCGCUUGUGUGAGCCCCCGUCAAUUUCUUUGAGUUUUAGCCUUGCGACCGUACUCCCCAGGCGGCGCGCUUAUCGUUUUUACUUCGACCGAUCCGGCGUCAGAGCCGCACCGAUCUAGCGCGCAUCGUUUACGGCGUGGACUAC